CUCCUCUCUUCCAGGUGUGAUCUCAGGCAGCUCUGAUCUCUCUGACUCGUUCCUGUCUCCUCCUCUCUUCCAGGUGUGAUCUCAGGCAGCUCUGAUCUCUCUGACUCGUUCCUGUCCCCUCCUCUCUUCCAGGUGUGAUCUCAGGCAGCUCUGAUCUCUCUGACUCGUUCCUGUCCCCUCCUCUCUUCCAGGUGUGAUCUCAGGCAGCUCUGAUCUCUCUGACUCGUUCCUGUCCCCUCCUCUCUUCCAGGUGUGAUCUCAGGCAGCUCUGAUCUCUCUGACUCGUUCCUGUCUCCUCCUCUCUUCCAGGUGUGAUCUCAGGCAGCUCUGAUCUCUCUGACUCGUUCCUGUCCCCUCCUCUCUUCCAGGUGUGAUCUCAGGCAGCUCUGAUCUCUCUGACUCGUUCCUGUCCCCUCCUCUCUUCCAGGUGUGAUCUCAGGCAGCUCUGAUCUCUCUGACUCGUUCCUGUCCCCUCCUCUCU